UUGGAAUGGGCUCAUCCCAAUUCCCUGAGAGCAGGAAAAGCUGGGAUUUGGGGCUGGGCUGAUCCCACUCUCCAGGCUCUGGCUCUCCCUGGAGCGGUGGCUCAGAUGCAGAGGGCAGCUCUGACCCGUGUCCCUUUCUCUCUCCUCACCAGCAAUCACCACUCCCAGCCCAGGUAUCUCAUCCAAGGACAGCAUAGCUGUGGCUGUGGCUGUGGUUGUGCCUAUAUCGCUUGGUUUGCUGCUUUUAGCCUUAUAUCUCUUCUAUAAAUAUGGAGUGCCCUGGAUGAGGAGAAGGCGCCGGAGCAGCGCUGGCAGCCAGGGCGACUCACACGGUGCUGCUGGGGACAUGGACACGCAGGCUGAGUCAUUUCUGUGAUGGAGCACAUCAACCCUUUGGUGCUGUACAACACUCCAAAUACUGUGAUAAAGCUUUAGAACAAACAAACCUAACAAACAAACACUAAUUCUCUCCCAGAUGAGGAAAAGGGACAAGGUGAAAACACAUAAAGAAAAUAACAUUACACCGAGGUCAGUAAGUAUGGAAAUUGUAGGUGGGAGGGGAUUGAGGAGAUGCCUUAGUCACCUUUUGGAAGGCUGUGGUGAAGAUACAUUUGAUAUUAUCAGACUUUGUGUUUUCCCUGUAAUUCAUGGCUGGAUGUAGCAUUCUAACCACAGCCAUGAGAAGCAUCAAUAUUGAAAUAAGCAGAUGUUGAGGUAGCUGUGAUCCAAUGAGAAGUUUGAACAGAGAGGGAUGAGAAAGGUGAAAAACACUGCCCUGUGAUCCCAGAGAUGGAUUAAAAGAACUUUUGUUUUUAUGCUAGAAUAGCUCAUCCUGAAAAAUACCCCCCCAGUAAGUUGUCAUGGCCCCCGAAUGCAGCAGCCACGAGAGAACUGUUCCUUGCUGUGGCAGCUGUAGCUUGAAACUGGACAAAAACACCAAUUUUGUGUGGUUUUGGUUCACUCAUUUGAGAUUUCUCUGUUAAUGCACUGAAAUUAGUGUAAUGGGCUUAGUGAUUAGCUAAAUUAGCUGCCACUGAUCACUAGUGGCAGCACGAACCCCCUUGUGGGAAUAAUGUGCAUUGCCCCCUUGAUUUCAGAAGGCUGAGUAAAAUGCUUUAUUAAGCUAUGCUAUAUUAUUAUUAUUAAGCUAUGCUACAUUAUUAUUAUGAAGUGAUGCUACAUUAUUAUUAUUAAGCAAUGCUAUGUUGUUAUUAUUAUUAAGUUACACUAUACUGUACUACCAAUACUCCACACUAACUAGAAGAACCCAUGACCAGUCAGUCACCACACAGCUUUGACCAAAUUGGUCAAUCAGUCCAAACAACCAUCACCAGAGUCCAAUUAACAAAUCACUCUCAGUAAAAAAAUCUCCAUAAUAUAUUCCACAUGUGCCAAACAACAGGAGCAGCAGGUAGAGACAAGAUUUGUUUUCUGUUCUCUCUCAGGGUUUUCUCACUCCCUUCCUCAGGAAAAAUUCUGGGAGAGAAAUUAUCUCUGUUCAAAAAAUGUGAAUACGACACACUGGAACGUAAUUACCCUUUUAUUGUGACAUAGGAUUAGGGAAUGGCAAAGCAG